rnacentral:lncRNA from 1 species
AAAAUGUAAUGUAGUGCCUACAGGUGCAAAGACCUUGAUUUUGUGCCUACAAAAUCAAACCAAAUCAAAUCAACUUGUAUUGGUCACAUACACAUGGUUAGCAGAUGUUAUUGGUCACGUGGUUAGCAGAUGUUAUUGGUCACAUGGUUAGCAGGUGUUAUUGGUCACAUGGUUAGCAGAUGUUAUUGGUCACAUGGUUAGCAGAUGUUAUUGGUCACAUGGUUAGCAGAUGUUAUUGGUCACAUGGUUAGCAGGUGUUAUUGGUCACAUGGUUAGCAGAUGUUAUUGGUCACAUGGUUAGCAGAUGUUAUUGGUCACAUGGUUAGCAGAUGUUAUUGGUCACAUGGUUAGCUGAUGUUAUUGGUCACAUGGUUAGCAGAUGUUAUUGGUCACAUGGUUAGCAGAUGUUAUUGGUCACAUGGUUAGCAGGUGUUAUUGGUCACAUGGUUAGCAGGUGUUAUUGGUCACAUGGUUACCAGAUGUUAUUGGUCACAUGGUUAGCAGAUGUUAUUGGUCAC